AAGGGAGACCUAAUUCCGGUAGGAGACGAAAAAAAAGUAGUCCCUACCAAGAAUCAAUCCCAAAAGGUCGAAGCGAGGCAAGAUUGGCUUUCAAACUAGGUUCUGGGUUCAAACAAGACCUGAAUCAGGAACAAGGGCUAUUAGCUCAGGUGGUUAGAGCGCACCCCUGAUAAGGGUGAGGUCCCUGGUUCGAGUCCAGGAUGGCCCACCUGCACAGGUGGCAAAAACAAAGAAGCGAGGAAUCAGCACCUUAUCUUACUCAUAUAGUAAGAGAGAAUGCUGGCUCUGAGUAAAGAGUCCAGAGGAACCUUGGAAACUGCAUAGAGCUAGGUGAAAAAGCCAAAAAAGAAGACCGCAA
rnacentral:tRNA from 1 species